rnacentral:rRNA from 1 species
UUGAUCAUGGCUCAGGAUGAACGCUGGCGGUAUGCCUUACACAUGCAAGUCGUACGGGAGUUUUUAACUCUAGUGGCGGACGGGUGAGUAACACGUAAGAAUUUGCCUUUAGGAGGGGGACAACAACUGGAAACGGUUGCUAAUACCCCAUAUGCUUUCGAGUGAAAUGGAUUUCCGCCUAAAGAGAAGCUUGCGGCUGAUUAGCUUGUUGGUAGAGGUAAUGGCUCACCAAGGCGACGAUCAGUAUCUGGUUUGAGAGGACGAUCAGACACACUGGAACUAGAGACACGGUACCAGACUCCUACGGGAGGCAGCAGUGGGGAAUUUUCCGCAAUGGGCGCAAGCCUGACGGAGCAAUACCGCGUGAGGGAUGACGGCCUAUGGGUAGUAAACCUACUUAUUUUCAGGGAGGAAUAAGAUGACGUGUACCUGAAGAAUAAGCAUCGGCUAACUCCGU